rnacentral:tRNA from 1 species
AUGCUUGUUUUUAGAUUAGGAUAGAUUUUGAAAAUCAAUUAAGGUUAUAUUAACCCUAGCGUG